rnacentral:lncRNA from 1 species
AUUUCCGUUUUAUUUAACCUAACCUAUGUUUUGUUGUUUGGUUGUAUACAAGGAGUUGUAUAUUGAAAUUGAAUUGAUUCUUGUUUCAUUGAAUUAUUGAAUAUAGAGGAGUUGUUCUGUUGCAAGUUGUUCUAGUUUUGUUGUUUUAAAAUCUGAGAAAAACUAUUUAUAGAUAAUGGUGAACUUAAACAAGAAAUGGGCAUGCAGUUUGCUGAUCACUUAAUUGUGUACUCACAACACAUAGGAUUUCUCCGACACAGUUUCCAGUACAGAACUGCCACAGGAAUCUCCAGUGGAGUUGCAACCGCUCUCACGGACGUCCACAAAUCAAGUUACAAAACUGUUACAUGACUCUCUAUUGGAGUUGCAACCGCAAUUGGAUAAAAGUGAAAUUCGAAUAAUGCCAGAAAUACUAUAACCGUCCAAAGUGAUAGUGUGAAAUUAGAAUCAAAUGAUUAUGUAUAAAUCAUAUUGAUAAUAAUUAUAAAUAGUAGCUGUAUUUUUUAAAUAAACAGAUUUGAUAAGUUA